AUACAUUGGCAAAUUACACAUAUGCACACAUCUGUUCUUAUCAGUUUAAUAUAUGCUAUGUCCCUUAUCUGGGGACCAUUAACUAAAAAGAUUUUGGGACAGGGAGAUGGAAUAGGGGCUUGCUCCAUCCACUCCAUGCAUCAACCUGGUAUUGCAGUACUUCCAGGAAUGGUGCACCCACU